rnacentral:rRNA from 1 species
UACAGAGGUGCCGAGCGUUAGGCGGAAUCACUGGGCUUAAAGCGUGUGUAGGCGGAUGCCUAAGUACCUUGUGAAAUCCCCCGGCUUAACCGGGGAACUGCUUGGUAUACUGGGUGUCUUGAGCCACUUAGGGGCGACCGGAACAAACGGUGGAGCGGUGAAAUGCGUAGAUAUCGUUUGGAACGCCAAUGGUGAAAACAGGUCGCUGGGAGUGUGCUGACGCUGAGACACGAAAGCCAGGGGAGCGAACGGGG